AAACUAGGAUUAGAUACCCUAUUAGGUAUACGAAUGUUAGGUAGUAGGUGUUGUACAUGAAACUUAAAUUUAUUGGCGGCUUUUUAAAUUUUUUAGAGGAAUUUAUUCUAUAAAGGAUAAAACACCAAAAUCUUACUUUAAAUUGUAUUUACAGUUUGUCUACCGCUAUUUAAUCAUAUGUAAAUCUAUUUUUUUUUCUAGGGUUAGUGGUGUUUUAGGUUAAGGUUCAGCUUAUUUUAAAGAUUGAAAUAAAUAUAUAAAUUAUUAUUUAACUAUAGUUUUUUUUUAAUAAGGGAUUAAAGAAAAAUUUAAAAGUAAAAUCUUUAAGCGAAUUAUUCUUAUUUAGAUUUUAUUUAUUUGUGUACAUAUCGCCCGUCACUCUUAAGUAAAGAUAAGUCGUAACAUAGUAA
rnacentral:rRNA from 1 species